UACAGAGGUCUCAAGCGUUGUUCGGAUUCAUUGGGCGUAAAGGGUGCGUAGGUGGCGCCGUAAGUCGGGUGUGAAAUUUCGGAGCUUAACUCCGAAACUGCAUUCGAUACUGCGGUGCUUGAGGACUGGAGAGGAGACUGGAAUUCAUGGUGUAGCAGUGAAAUGCGUAGAGAUCAUGAGGAAGACCAGUGGCGAAGGCGGGGUCUCUGGACAGUUCCUGACACUGAGGCACGAAAGCUAGGGGAGCAAACAGGG
rnacentral:rRNA from 1 species